rnacentral:tRNA from 1 species
UCCUCGUUAGUAUAGUGGCAGUAUCCCUGCCUGUCACGUGGGAGACUGGGGUUCGAUUCCCCGAUGGGGAG